CAAUAGCGUAUAUUAAAGUUGUUGCGGUUAAAAAGCUCGUAGUUGGAUUUCUGCCGAGGACGACCGGUCCGCCCUCUGGGUGUGUAUCUGGCUCGGCCUGGGCAUCUUCUUGGAGAACGUAUCUGCACUUGACUGUGUGGUGCGGUAUCCAGGACUUUUACUUUGAGGAAAUUAGAGUGUUUCAAGCAGGCAUACGCCUUGAAUACAUUAGCAUGGAAUAAUAAGAUAGGACCUCGGUUCUAUUUUGUUGGUUUUCGGAAAUCGAGUUAAUGAUUAACAGGGACAAUUGGGGGCAUUAGUAUUCAGACGACAGAGGUGAAAUUCUUGGACCGUCUGAAGACUGACUACUGCGAAAGCAUUUGCCAAGAGUGUUUUCAUUAAUCAAGAACGAAAGUUAGGGGAUCGAAGAUGAUCAGAUACCGU
rnacentral:rRNA from 1 species